GCAUAGAUAAUGUGCCCCUUAGUUCGGGAUAGCCACUGGAAACGGUGAUUAAUACGGGAUACUCCUUCUUGUUAUAAGACAAGUCGGGAAAGUUUUUCGCUAAGGGAUCAGUCUAUGUUCCAUCAGCUUGUUGGUGAGGUAAUGGCUCACCAAGGCUAUGACGGAUAUCUGGUUUGAGAGGAUGAUCAGACACACUGGAACUGAGACACGGUCCAGACUCCUACGGGAGGCAGCAGUGAGGAAUAUUGCACAAUGGAGGAAACUCUGAUGCAGCAACGCCGCGUGGAGGAUGACGCAUUUCGGUGUGUAAACUCCUUUUAUUAGGGAAGAUAAUGACGGUACCUAAUGAAUAAGCACCGGCUAACUCCGUGCCAGCAGCCGCGGUAAUACGGAGGGUGCAAGCGUUACUCGGAAUCACUGGGCGUAAAGGGUGCGUAGGCUGGCUUUUAAGUCAGAUGUGAAAUCCAAUGGCUCAACCAUUGAACUGCAUUUGAAACUGAAAGCCUAGAGUUCAGAAGGGGCAGAUGGAAUUAGUGGUGUAGGGGUAAAGUCCGUAGAUAUCACUAGGAAUAUCAAAAGCGAAGGCGAUCUGCUGGGAUG
rnacentral:rRNA from 1 species